AGCUCCAAUAGCGUAUAUUAACGUUGUUGCAGUUAAAAGGCUCGUAGUCGAACUUAUGACUAUGUGCGCCUGGCCCAAUGUCUAGUACAUUGCGCGCUGGUGUGCACAGGUCAUCCAUCUGGAGAGCACUUCUGCCCUUGAUUGGGUUGGUUGUGUGGUCCAGAUCAUUUACUGUGAGUAAAUCAAAGUGUUCAAGGCAGGCAUUUCGCUCUGAAUGCUCUAGCAUGGAAUAAUACUAUAGGACUUCGGUUCUAUUUAUUGGCUUUUAGAACCAAAGUAAUGAUUGAAAGGGAUAGUUGGGGGUGCUAGUAUUUAACGGUCAGCGGUGAAAUGCACGGACCCGUUAAAGACUAACUUAUGCGAAAGCAUUCACCAAGGAUAUCUUCUUUGAUCAAGAACG
rnacentral:rRNA from 1 species